UGAAUGAACCUCGAAGUGAGCACCAACAGCAAACCACAAAAGAUAUAUUUGAGGAAGUUUUGCAGCUUCAUGACUUUUCUCUCAGCUGUCGAAACGAUACUGGUCCCGGUUAAACGAAACAUCCCUCUCGCGAGUGGUAAACUAUCCAGUUUAUGUAUCGUGUGACUCUUGUGUAAACGCCAGGGUAUCCUGGUCGAGCACAUCCGUUUCCCCAGGAUACUAUACCUAUGAGUUCGUAUUUCUUGUCUUCGCGUGCGGCUAUGAGUGGUCCUCCGCUAUCACCCUUGAAGAAAAGAAAAAUGAUAUCCAGCGCACAUCAUGUUAUCAGAGAUCAUACGUGGACUGUAGCUUGUGUUACGGCAAUCCUGAAGGCUCAUAACCGGUACCUCGACUUCCUGCAGCAGGCAAGAUGGCUUCCCAUCCUCG